rnacentral:rRNA from 1 species
AGCAGCCGCGGUAAUUCCAGCUCCAAUAGCGUAUAUUAAAGUUGUUGCAGUUAAAAAGCUCGUAGUUGAAUUUCGGGGUUAGUAGGUUGGUCAUGCCUCUGGUAUGUACUGGUCUCACUGAUUCCUCCUUCCUUAUGAACCGUAAUGCCAUUAAUUUGGUGUUGCGGGGAAUUUGGACUGUUACUGUGAAAAAAUUAGAGUGUUUAAAGCAAGCUAACGCUUGAAUACAUUAGCAUGGAAUAAUGAAAUAGGACGUUCGAUCUUAUUUUGUUGGUUUCUAGGAUUGACGUAAUGACUAAUAGGGAUAGUUGGGGGCAUUAGUAUUCAAUUGUCAGAGGUGAAAUUCUUGGAUUUAUUGAAGACUAACUACUGCGAAAGCAUUUGCCAAGGAUGUUUUCAUUAAUCAAGAACGAAAGUUAGGGGAUCGAAGACGAUCAGAUACCGUCGUAGUCUUAACCAUAAACUAUGCCGACUAGGGAUCGGAUGAUGUUAAUUUUUUAAUGACUCA